CCUACGGGAGGCUGCAGUGAGGAAUAUUGGUCAAUGGGCGGGAGCCUGAACCAGCCAAGCCGCGUGAGGGAAGAAGGUACAGCGUAUCGUAAACCUCUUUUGUCAGGGAACAAAGGCGGGGACUAGUCCCCGGAUGAGGGUACCUGUAGAAACAGCAUCGGCUCACUCCGUGCCAGCAGCCGCGGUAAUACGGGUGUUGCGAGAUUUAUCCGGAUUUAUUGGGUUGAAAGGGUGAGCAGGCGGCCUGUUAAGUCAGCGGUAAAAGCCCGGGGGUCAACCCCGGCGAGCCGUUGAAACUGGCGGGCUGGAGUGGGAGAGAAGUACGCGGAAUGCGCGGUGUAGCGGUGAAAUGCUUAGAUAUCGCGCAGAACCCCGAUUGCGAAGGCAGCGUACCGGCUCCACACUGACGCUGAGGCACGAAAGCGUGGGUAUCGAACAGGAUUAGAUACCCGUGUAGUC
rnacentral:rRNA from 1 species